UCCAGGUAUUCGUGGGGAAAAAGAUUCCAAUUGGACUGGUUUAGGAUGUUUCCAAGUUGGAACACUGUUCUGUUCCACCACAUGGACAGUCAGACUUCUCAUUUGGUAGCAUGCGUACUGUGUAUUUGAUAUGUAUUUCAUUUGGUACGUAGCAAGCCGGCUCAUUUUGACCCCUCAACCUUCAGAGAUAAGGUCUUCCUGUGAGAGUCGACCAUCUCCUCGUUCGUCCAGAUCCACUCCAUGGCGAUAUGUGCUACAAGCAUACAAAUAUGAGAAAGAUGCUUCAUAAAUUGUAUUGUCACAUCAAUUCCUAAGAGCAGUCCAAUGAACUAUAGUGGGUGCAUGGAGGAAUUGGCAAACUUUAUUGACAGCAAAUGAGAUAUCAGGUCUUGUAAGUGUUAAAUAUUGAAGUGCACCUACUAGACUUCUGUAUUUUGUGCUGUCAUCUUGGCUCAAGGGCUGCCCUUUUGUAAGAGAUAGCUUUUCAGAACUAGACAAUGGAGUGGAUGAGGGUUUACAACCUUGUAAGCCAGCUUUCUUCACCAAGUCUGUUGCAUACUUUUCUUGGGAGAGAUGAAUACCAUUCUCAUGCUUCUUUACUUCUAUUCCCAGAAAAUAAUGCAACUCUCCAAGAUCCUUGAGAGCAAACUCUGCACUAAGAUCUUUCAAAAGUCCUAUGACAGUAUCAUCAGAUGAACUUGUAACAAUAAUAUCAUCAACAUAUAUGAGAACAAAUAUGUGUGUGUUGCAUUUAUUGUA